CCUCGGCGCAGCCAUAGCUGUACUCGGGCUCCUGUGCCGCCGCGGGCCACAGCGCUGCGCGGCCGCGGAGGGAAGGAGAGAGGGGGACACGGUACCAGUGCCCCCCAAGAACACUUUGCCCUCACUAUUUGCAGUGCCAGAGUGAAAACACACCAUGGUCUGUCUGGCCCAGCAAACCCUGCCGAGGUACUGUGAUGGUUACAGG